ensembl:piRNA 21ur-6031 ncRNA
UUUGAUGUGAGUAUAGAAAGU